rnacentral:rRNA from 1 species
AAGCCUACGGGACGCAGCAGUGGGGGAUAUUGCGCAAUGGGGGAAACCCUGACGCAGCAACGCCGCGUGAAGGAUGAAGGUUUUCGGAUUGUAAGCUUCUUUUAUUAAGGACGAAAAAAUGACGGUACUUAAUGAAUAAGCUCCGGCUAACUACGUGCCAGCAGCCGCGGUAAUUCGUGGGGAGCAAGCGUUGUCCGGAUUUACUGGGUGUAAAGGGUGCGUAGGCGGCUUUGCAAGUCAGAUGUGAAAUCUAUGGGCUCAACCCAUAAACUGCAUUUGAAACUGUAGAGCUUGAGUGUAGUAGG